rnacentral:rRNA from 1 species
UUUAAUAGUCGAACAGACUAACUUAACUAGCUGCUACACUAGCCAGCACCUUUAAUUCAACAUCGAGGUCACAAGAUCUUUUAUCAAUUAGGCCUCUCUAAAAGCAUUGUGCUGUUAUCCCUGAGGUAACUGCGCUUCAACUUGUUUAAGAUCCUCACCUUACUACAGCAUCGGUUUGUAAGCUAGAUUAAUUGACUUACCGCCCCAGUAUGGUGCAACAAUAGCCAAAGACUCGUAUUGCUUGAGUCGGAGACAUCCCACAACCAGCUCUGCAGGGUCUUAUCUUCCCAUUGGUUGAGAUUGAAGUUUUAAUCAAGCCCUUAAGUUAUACCGUUACAGGUUUACAAGUCGUCUUUCAUGAACCCCUUCAUUCGAGACCCCAAUUAAGAGCCAAAUUAUUAUGCUACCUUUGCACAGUUAGGG